UACGUAGGGGGCGAGCGUUGUCCGGAUUUAUUGGGCGUAAAGAGCUCGUAGGCGGCUUGGCAAGUCGGGUGUGAAACCUCCAGGCUCAACCUGGAGACGCCACUCGAUACUGCUAUGGCUAGAGUCCGGUAGGGGACCACGGAAUUCCUGGUGUAGCGGUGAAAUGCGCAGAUAUCAGGAGGAACACCGGUGGCGAAGGCGGAUCUCUGGGCCUUACCUGACGCUCAGGCGCGAAAGCUAGGGGAGCGAACAGG
rnacentral:rRNA from 1 species